rnacentral:rRNA from 1 species
GACGAACGCUGGCGGUGUGCUUAACACAUGCAAGUGGUGCGACGAACCAGGCUUCGGCCUGGGGCAAAGCCGCGAACGGGUGAGUAACACGUGGGUAAUCUGCCCCGAUGACCGGGACAACCCGAGGAAACUCGGGCUAAUACCGGAUGUGGUGCCCAGACUUAAGUCUGGUCACUAAAGGUAGCUUCGGCUUCCGCAUUGGGAGGGGCCCGCGGCCCAUUAGCUUGUUGGUGGGGUCAAGGCCUACCAAGGCAACGAUGGGUAGCUGGUCUGAGAGGACGAUCAGCCACACUGGGACUGAGACACGGCCCAGACUCCUACGGGAGGCUG